rnacentral:tRNA from 1 species
GUGGUCAUGGCUCAGUGGUAGAGCACUUGCCUAGCAUGUGUGAGGCACUGGGUUCAAUUCUCAGCACCACA